UUAGGGAGACCUACCCACUCUGCGAGAGUUGCGAAGUACGAAGAGUACGACUGCAAGAUUUUAGCAAGAGUUGGUUAUCCCAAGGUCGAGCAGGGAUGAGUGAAGCUGUCUUCCAAACUACACCAGGUUGAAGAACGAACAAAUAGCUAAGCGAGUCUAAGGAUUGGUAAUAGAUGUUUGGGGUCAUGUUUCAGCAAUUGAUCUAGCGAGGGAGUUAGACAAGUUGCUGGAGUUUAAUCCAGUGAAGCACCUUGAAAACUGCAUAGUAGAAGAAGUCAGGUAGAAGAGACUGAUUCUUGUUCAGAGUACUGAGCGAGGGCAACACAGGCUUGAAAGAGUCAAGUUGUACUGAGUGAAGGAGUGAAGAAGGAGCAGUUAAGAAAACAGACAUUCUAAGAGAGAA
rnacentral:misc_RNA from 1 species